AUCCAGCUGACGAGUCUCAAAUUGGACGAAACGCGCAUCGAACUGUAU
rfam:Schistosoma mansoni strain Puerto Rico chromosome 1, complete genome